UCUAUUUUCUGAAUUAAGACUGUUACAAAUGACUUUACCUGUAACGAAUGAGCCAAUGCAAGCAAUGGAAAUAUUUGAGUUUGUUAGAGAUAUAGAUUGUUUUCCAAAUAUUUUAAUUGCUUAUCGUAUUUUGUUUACUGUACCGGUGACAGUAGCAUCGGCUGAGCGUAGCUUUUCUAAGUUGAAGUUACUAAAAAACUAUUUAAGAUCAUGAAUGUCUCAAGAAAGAUUAAAUGGUCUGGCAAUUUUGUGUAUCGAGAAAAAUAAGUUGGAUGAGAUAAAUACGGAUGCAAUUAUAGACGACUUUGCUUCUAGAAGUGUUAGGAGAAAUGGCAAGUUCUGAAUUCAAUUUGCUAUACUGUGACUUGCGCAGGAAGAGGAAGCUUUCGAAAAUUGGUGAAGAAUAUGGAGUGGUGGGCAUGAUCUAAAUAAAGUCUUACUGUAAAUGCCCCUCUCUGGUUCUCUUUUAAGUAGGAACUGCGGCGACUUCAUCUCCUAUCUAGAUUGAAGAAAGACAUGUUCUGCCUUGUCAAUCCUAGUUCCUAGCAAAGCGGAACUUUUGCGGAAGCAGGGAAUCAUCA